AUUGAACGCUGGCGGCAUGCUUUACACAUGCAAGUCGAACGGUAACAGCACUUCGGUGGCUGACGAGUGGCGAACGGGUGAGUAAUACAUCGGAACGUGCCUAGUAGUGGGGGAUAACUACUCGAAAGAGUAGCUAAUACCGCAUGAGAUCUAAGGAUGAAAGCAGGGGACCUUCGGGCCUUGCGCUACUAGAGCGGCUGAUGGCAGAUUAGGUAGUUGGUGGGAUAAAAGCUUACCAAGCCGACGAUCUGUAGCUGGUCUGAGAGGACGACCAGCCACACUGGGACUGCGACACGGCCCAGACUCCUACGGGAGGCAGCAGUGGGGAAUUUUGGACAAUGGGCGCAAGCCUGAUCCAGCAAUGCCGCGUGCAGGAUGAAGGCCUUCGGGUUGUAAACUGCUUUUGUACGGAACGAAAAGCCCUCUUCUAAUACAGGAGGGUCAUGACGGUACCGUAAGAAUAAGCACCGGCUAACUACGUG
rnacentral:rRNA from 1 species